rnacentral:rRNA from 1 species
UGAGGAAUAUUGGUCAAUGGGCGAGAGCCUGAACCAGCCAAGUCGCGUGAAGGAAGAAGGUUCUAUGGAUUGUAAACUUCUUUUGCAGGGGAAUAAAGGACGGUACGUGUACUGUUUUGUAUGUACCUUGCGAAUAAGGAUCGGCUAACUCCGUGCCAGCCGCCGCGGUAAUACGGAGGAUCCGAGCGAUAUCCGGAUUUAUUGGGUUUAAAGGGUGCGUAGGUGUAUUGUUAAGUCAGUGGUGAAAGUUUGUAGCUCAACUUAAAAAUUGCCGGUGAAACUGUCGAUCUUGAGUGCAAAUGAGGUAGGCGGAAUGUGUUGUGUAGCGGUGAAAUGCUUAGAUAUAACACAGAACUCCGAUUGCGAAGGCAGCUUACUGGGAUGCAACUGACACUGAUGCACGAAAGCGUGGGUAUCAAACA